rnacentral:misc_RNA from 1 species
AUGGGGGUCUGCCCAAGC